rnacentral:rRNA from 1 species
AGGAUGAACGCUGGCGGCGUGCCUAACACAUGCAAGUCGAACGUCCUGUCUCGCAAGAGGCAGGGAGUGGCGGACGGGUGAGUACCACGUGGGUCAUCUACCGUGAGGUGAGGAAUACCGGCGAGAAAUCGCCGACAAGACCGCAUAGGCUCGAUGCAAGUCGAGCAAAGCUCUUUCGAGAGAGGGAGCGCCACACGAGGAGCCUGCGCCCGAUUAGCUAGCUGGUGGAGUAACGGUUCACCAGGGCGACGAUCGGUAGCUGGUCUGAGAGGACGAUCAGCCACACUGGGAUUGAGAACGGCCCAGACUCCUACGGGGGCAGCAGUGAGGAAUUUUCGUCAAUGGGGGCAACCCUGAACGAGCAACGCCGCGUGCAGGAAGAAGGUUUCGGAUCGUAAACUGCUUUCUCGGGAAGAGAACGGACGGUACCCGAGGAAUCAGCCCGGCUAACACGUGCCAGCAGCCGC